rnacentral:rRNA from 1 species
AACGCCCCUUCGGGGGAGUGGCGGACGGGUGAGUAACGCGUGGGAAUGUGCCCUUUGGUACGGAACAACUGAGGGAAACUUCAGCUAAUACCGUAUGUGCCCUACGGGGGAAAGAUUUAUCGCCAUUGGAGCAGCCCGCGUUGGAUUAGGUAGUUGGUGGGGUAAAAGCCUACCAAGCCGACGAUCCAUAGCUGGUCUGAGAGGAUGAUCAGCCACACUGGGACUGAGACACGGCCCAGACUCCUACGGGAGGCAGCAGUGGGGAAUCUUGCGCAAUGGGCGAAAGCCUGACGCAGCCAUGCCGCGUGUAUGAUGAAGGUCUUAGGAUUGUAAAAUACUUUCACCGGGGAAGAUAAUGACGGUACCCGGAGAAGAAGCCCCGGCUAACUUCGUGCCAGCAGCCGCGGUAAUACGAAGGGGGCUAGCGUUGCUCGGAAUUACUGGGCGUAAAGGGCGCGUAGGCGGACAGUUUAGUCAGAGGUGAAAGCCCAGGGCUCAACCUUGGAAUUGCCUUUGAUACUGGCUGUCUUGAGUUCGGGAGAGGUGAGUGGAAUGCCGAGUGUAGAGGUGAAAUUCGUAGAUAUUCGGCGGAACACCAGUGGCGAAGGCGACUCACUGGCCCGAUACUGACGCUGA